rnacentral:tRNA from 1 species
GCUUUUGUGGUGUAAUGGUCACUACGCUCGGCGCGUAUUCGAGAGGUCCGAGGUUCGAGUCCCGGCGAGGGCA